rnacentral:rRNA from 1 species
AUCCAGACUCCUACGGGAGGCAGCAGUGGGGGAUAUUGCACAAUGGGGGGAACCCUGAUGCAGCGACGCCGCGUGGGCGAUGGAGCGCCUCGGCGCGUAAAGCCCUAUCAGCAGGGAAGAAGAUGACGGUACCUGACUAAGAAGCCCCGGCUAAAUACGUGCCAGCAGCCGCGGUAAUACGUAUGGGGCAAGCGUUAUCCGGAUUUACUGGGUGUAAAGGGAGCGUAGACGGCAUGGCAAGUCAGAUGUGAAAGCCCGGGGCUCAACCCCGGGACUGCAUUUGAAACUGUCAGGCUGGAGUGCAGGAGAGGGAAGUGGAAUUCCUAGUGUAGCGGUGAAAUGCGUAGAUAUUAGGAGGAACACCAGUGGCGAAGGCGGCUUACUGGACUGUAACUGACGUUGAGGCUCGAAAGCGUGGGGAGCAAACAGGAUUAGAUACCCCGGUAAAC